rnacentral:rRNA from 1 species
AACGAACGCUGGCGGCAUGCCUAACACAUGCAAGUCGAACGAGACCUUCGGGUCUAGUGGCGCACGGGUGCGUAACGCGUGGGAACCUGCCCUUAGGUUCGGAAUAACUCCCCGAAAGGGGUGCUAAUACCGGAUAAUGUCUUCGGACCAAAGAUUUAUCGCCCUUGGAUGGGCCCGCGUUGGAUUAGCUAGUUGGUAGGGUAAAAGCCUACCAAGGCGACGAUCCAUAGCUGGUCUGAGAGGAUGAUCAGCCACACUGGGACUGAGACACGGCCCAGACUCCUACGGGAGGCAGCAGUGGGGAAUAUUGGACAAUGGGCGAAAGCCUGAUGCAGCAAUGCCGCGUGAGUGAUGAAGGCCUUAGGGUUGUAAAGCUCUUUUAACCGGGAUGAUAAUGACAGUACCGGGAGAAUAAGCUCCGGCUAACUCCGUG